rnacentral:lncRNA from 1 species
UGUGCACCACCCUCUCACCCAAACGAAGGCAGCUGGCCCUGAAGUUCUCUGAGCUUGAGGACAAAAAAAGACCUCUGUGAGUUGUCAGGCUCUGUUACAGUCUGGGUCAGCAGACAAGAGUCCCAGGGCUCGGCCGUCUUCUCUAGGAGAGAAAAUAUUCGUGCCAUAUAGCGUGUUCUAAGAGUUCUCACCAGAAGCCCAGAAAGUUCUGUAUUUACUCAGCAUUCAAGGGAAAACAGACCCUGUAUUUUUGGGAUUCCUGAAAGGUGACCAGGUGAGAGCAAAGCCCAACUUCCUGGGGAAAAGCUCUCAGCGCAGUGAAUGCUACAUUCGGAGGUAGGAAGGCUCUGGAUGUGAGUCUUCAUGUUUGUUUUUUGUUUUUUGUUUUUUUUUCUCUAAAAUUACCAAAAAAGAGGAAUAUCCACAGAAGCAGAAGUAGGAAUGGGGAAGGAGGGGACAAGUUUAGACCAAGCUCUUCUGUGACCUCACUUCUGCUUUUGAAGUCCCACAGCUCUAUAAGGAUUCCUAAAACUGGACAUGGUGGCUGUAGGAGGAUGCGCCUCUUUCAGUCAUUGGAUUUCCCCUGGAAAGACAGAAUGAAUUCACAUUCUCACCUGCAGUGGGUGAGAAGUCCCUUUUCCCCCACUUCCUUGCCAAAAAUGGAUAUUAUCAUUCCUUUUCAUCUUUGCCAGUCUGGAAGUUAUGUGCAACUGAACACAAGAAUUACAGAAGAGGCCGGGCGUGGUGGCUCACGCCUGUAAUCCCAACACUUUGGGAGGCUGAGGCGGGCAGAUCACUU